GUCUACAGCCAUACCACCCUGAGUCUGCCAGAUCUCAGAAGCUAAGCAGGGUUGGGCCUGAUUAGUACUUGGAUGGGCAAACAACAAAGAAUGAUGAACAGCAGCACCCA
rnacentral:rRNA from 1 species